GGUCACGUAGCCAAGCGGUAAGGCGACAGUCUGCAAAACUGUUAUACGUGGGUUCAAUUCCCACCGUGACCU
rnacentral:tRNA from 1 species